GGCGAGAUAGAAUCAGGCGGUAAUGCGCUUAUGUAAUCUAGUUCUUCGGAGCGUGGGUUCGAAUCCCACUCUCGUCA